rnacentral:rRNA from 1 species
CGGGCCUUGGUAGGGAKGAGUAGGUGGCCAGUUAGCUCCCCUCGUGGGUUGCGCUGGUGUCUGACUCAUCCCACCCUAGGACCAGGCCCGCCGGCCGACCGAGGAACCGCCGCACCCGCGCUUCGUUGCGUCCGGGGCCGCGUCACGGGCUGGAGGGACCAACCGUGGUGGGACUGCUUCUUGCAGUGCCAUCCGACCGCCCUUUUGUUCACGUGGUGUGUGCCGCCCGGGCAGGGUGCUCAGGGUCACCGGCGAAUCGAGUCGGCAGCCCGUCCGACCCGUCUUGAAACACGGACCAAGGAGUCUAACAUGUGUGCGAGUCAUUGGGCUCUACGAAACCCACAGGCGGAAUGAAAGUGAAGGGCGGCGCUGGUCGCCAGGAGGUGGGAUCCCCCGGCUCGGUCGGGGGCGCACCACCGGCCCGUCUCAUAUCCGGCGCUGUUCCGGGAGGCGGAGCAAGAGCAUACACGUUGGGACCCGAAAGAUGGUGAACUAUGCCUGAGCAGGUUGAAGCCAGAGGAAACUCUGGUGGAGGACCGUAGCGAUUCUGACGUGCAAAUCGAUCGUCAAACUUGGGUAUAGGGGCGAAAGACUAAUCGAACCGUCUAGUAGCUGGUUCCUGCCGAAGUUUCCCUCAGGAUAGCUGGUGUCGGGGAAGGCAGUUGUAUCCGGUAAAGCGAAUGAUUAGAGGCAUCGGGGAACGAUGUGGCCUCGACCUAUUAUCAAACUUUAAAUGGGUACGAAGGCCCGGCCGGCCCGAGUGCGGCCGGGCCACGAAUGCUUGGCACCAAGUGGGCCA